rnacentral:rRNA from 1 species
AGAGUUUGAUCCUGGCUCAGAUUGAACGCUGGCGGCAGGCCUAACACAUGCAAGUCGAGCGGUAACAGAGAUAGCUUGCUAUCUGCUGACGAGCGGCGGACGGGUGAGUAAUGCAUAGGAAGUUGCCCAGACGAGGGGGAUAACCAUUGGAAACGAUGGCUAAUACCGCAUACUCUCUUAGGAGCAAAGCAGGGGCUCUUCGGACCUUGUGCGUUUGGAUACGCCUAUGUGGGAUUAGCUAGUUGGUGAGGUAAUGGCUCACCAAGGCGACGAUCCCUAGCUGGUCUGAGAGGAUGAUCAGCCACACUGGGACUGAGACACGGCCCAGACUCCUACGGGAGGCAGCAGUGGGGAAUAUUGCACAAUGGGCGCAAGCCUGAUGC